rnacentral:rRNA from 1 species
GAGACAGCAGUCGCCACGGUAAUACGGAGGGGGCUAGCGUUAUUCGGAAUUACUGGGCGUAAAGCGCACGUAGGCGGCUUCGCAAGUCAGAGGUGAAAGCCUGGGGCUCAACUCCAGAAUUGCCUUUGAGACUGCGUCGCUCGAAUCCGGGAGAGGUGAGUGGAAUUCCGAGUGUAGAGGUGAAAUUCGUAGAUAUUCGGAAGAACACCAGUGGCGAAGGCGGCUCACUGGACCGGCAUUGACGCUGAGGUGCGAAAGCGUGGGGAGCAAACAGGAUUAGAUACCCGCGUAGUCCCUGUCUCUUAUAC